AGGGCACCACCAGGAGUGGAGCCUGCGGCUUAAUUUGACUCAACACGGGGAAACUCACCCGGCCCGGACACUGGAAGGAUUGACAGAUUGAGAGCUCUUUCUUGAUUCAGUGGGUGGUGGUGCAUGGCCGUUCUUAGUUGGUGGAGUGAUUUGUCUGGUUAAUUCCGAUAACGAACGAGACUCUAGCCUACUAAAUAGACCUCGGCAUUCUUUGUACUGUCGAGGCGCUUCUUAGAGGGACAGGCGGCGUUUCAGCCGCAUGAGAAAGAGCAAUAACAGGUCUGUGAUGCCCUUAGAUGUCCGGGGCCGCACGCGCGCUACACUGAAGAGAUCAGCGUGCAUGUGCUUCCUACUCCGAAAGGAGCGGGAAACCGAGUGAACCUUUUUCGUGCUUGGGAUUGGGGAUUGUAAUUAUUCUCCAUGAACGAGGAAUUCCCAGUAAGCACMAGUCAUCAGCUUGUGUUGAUUACGUCCCUGCCCUUUGUACACACCGCCCGUCGCUACUACCGAUUGGAUGUU
rnacentral:rRNA from 1 species